rnacentral:lncRNA from 9 species
AAAAUGGCCAGGAGGAGUCCCCAGCCAUCGCCUGGGCCGAGCCGGAAGACGAGCCUGGCCCCAAGGUGGACGGGGCGGACGAUGAAAUCUCUUGGAGCUUGGAGAGUGUGUGUGAGAGCGACCUCGCUGACAGCAACCUCGCAGAAAGUGAUCGAGG